UACGUAGGGGGCAAGCGUUGUCCGGAAUCAUUGGGCGUAAAGAGCGUGUAGGCGGCCAGAUAAGUCCGCUGUGAAAUCUCGAGGCUCAACUUCGAGCUGUCGGUGGAAACUGUCUGGCUAGAGUCCGGAAGAGGCGAGUGGAAUUCCUGGUGUAGCGGUGAAAUGCGCAGAUAUCAGGAGGAACACCGAUGGCGAAGGCAGCUCGCUGGGACGGUACUGACGCUGAGACGCGAAAGCGUGGGGAGCGAACAGG
rnacentral:rRNA from 1 species